CAAAUAAACAAACAACAGGACAUACUGUGAUCACAAAGGUGGUUUUCCCAGGGCAUGGUUUGUCCAUUGAAUUCAGAUGUGUGGACCUCUGCGAUUUUGCCAAAUUCAGGAAACUCAGCUGUGUCAUUUGUGGUAGUGGGGACUGUGUUCACCUCUCCCCA
rnacentral:snRNA from 1 species